ensembl:misc_RNA Metazoa_SRP Metazoan signal recognition particle RNA
GCCAGGCGUAGUGGUGCACGCCUGUGGUCCUAGUUACUUGGGAGGCUGAGGCAGGAGGACUGCUUGAGCCUAGGAGUUCAGGGCUGCAGUGAGCGAUGAUUGCACCACUGCACUCCAGCCAGCCUGGGCAACAGAGUGCGAUCCUGUCUCUC